UGGCAAGCAAAAGCAAAAAAUCAUUUUUAGGCACAAAGAUGACCAUCCGAUUCCCAUCACGCACGAUUUCACGAAGACGAUCGUUUUCUUCGAUUCGUCGUGGUUUCCAAUCUCUUAAAUCUGCGUCUCCGACGUCGCUUUUGCUUUUAUUGUUUGAUGUAAUUGGUUUCUUGUUCAGUGGACGAAGCGUUACUGUUGGAUUUGUUAGUGGAUAAGGGGAUAGAGACAGGAGGACACUGGUACGCGUCGCACCGACAGGUCCGACAUCUGUACGCAUUGCAUGACAUAGAGAGAGCGAGAGUGUGUUGAAUGAAUGGAAGGGAUUGAUUCGGCGUUUUCUCUUCUCUUUUUCUCUGUGGCUACGAAUCAAACCCUAAUUUGUUGAUUUUUGGUAAGGGUGUCGUUUGGUUUUUCCAGAUCUGACCGACUCAUGCCUGCAAAAUUUUCUUUAGAUGCGGAUGCUUUCUUUUGAUCCUCUGAAGAAUUUGUCAUACACAGGUUUUCAGCAUGUGGAUUAAUUUAAAUUUUAAAGCAGUAACGUAUGUUUGUUUUGUCCAUUCGCAUGAUUUGUGUUUGUAUGUUACAGUUUUGUGGUUUUGGGAGCUUGACUUUUUUUUUAAACUACCCAAAUAAUUAAUAAUAAAUAACUGUUUUUGUAUCAUGGAUAAUAUGAUCUUCUAUAUCAUAGAAAGAUUUUAUUAUAUUAGUUUUUUUUCAAUAGAGAACAACACCGUACAAGCAUGUCUUUUGGACAUUCCAUAGUCAUAUGAGCCUAAAUUCAAGUCAUCAGGUCUGUGUACACAUAAGUUUCCCACAUAACGACAGGGUAAGUUGGGUCAAAGCAUAGUGCGUGGCCACAAGGGUAUUAACCCCAGUGGGAAUCGAACUCAAGACCUCCCGACUCUAUACGGUUUGACCUCAGAGAGAUUCAUCAGUUAGACUAUCAUCCAAGUGGUUUUACUAUAUUAGUUGCUAUAAGUAUAAAAUAGAUUACGCAUCCUUUAUAUAUCAUAAGCUGAUUAAUUAGUUUUUUUUUAUUGAUCCUCUAAUCUUAAGUUUCAGGUAUUGGCUGAAGAUUAGAUGAAACUAAUGAGACAAUGAGUUAUUAUAAAAAAAGCAAGGUGUAGGUGUCUAAUCAUACAAAAGGCCGGAAAAAAGGUAAGGUUGUCCUAAUAAACACCUAAUCUACUAAUAUAUGAAGUACUGCUCUAAUAAUUGGUUGUCAUUUUAACUACAGAUGUAAUUGUGUGUGGCUAGGUAUCUAAAUGACUGUUACUUAGGGAUUGUAUAUUAUUAAUGUCCUAGACAUUGUCAUCAUGUAUGUAGCUUCAAUAAUAAUCAAAUGCAUUAAGGUCAUGCAUUUUCACCCGACCCACUGGAUGCUGAAGUUGCCAAAGAUUAUUUCCUCCACUUGGUGCAUGCAUUAAUUCAUGGUUUCAACAAUCUUGAUGCAUUGUGUGCAACAUAUUGUUUCUUAUGAGGCUAUAAUAGAUGUAUGCACAAAAAAUUGGGUUUGUAAUUGGCUGAUAAUGUUGACACUUGACAUAGAGUUUGGACGUGCGGAUCUUUUAAGAGCUAUAGCAUCAAGACUUGUAGAUAUAAAUAAUUCAUUUUAAGAUGUUCAAACUUCAAAACUAUGACUUUUAUGGUCCUCUGAAAUUUCUUAUGAAGAAGGUUGAAGAUUUUUACUGUUGCUAUCAUAGAUUAUUUAAAUAUGGUUUAGUACUGUGCCAUGAAUAUGAUCAGUAGCUACAUGAGUUGAAACUAAUUAAUGGAAUCAUGAAACAAAAACUAGAAAUUGGAAAAAGAAGCUAGCUAUUGAUAAAUCUGGAAUUCAAGAAGAAUGUUUUUCUAAUGAAUUGACAUUUGACAUUUGACUUUGAUAAAAAAAAAACCAUCAAACUGAAAACCAUUUCAUUUUGGAACUUCCUCUAUGCUAUAAUAAUUUAAGUUUUAUUAUUUUCUUUGUGAUCCAAUCAAGCUAUUAUAGUAAUUGAGUAGAAAUAAACUAUCUUAUGAUUUGGUUUGCGUUACAUUCAUGUGUUGUUGAUGCUGGCUAGUUUUUACAAACCUGAAAUUUUCUCCACCUCACUUAUCAUUUACCUAAUUGACAUUGACAGGACAUAAUUAAGUUGAGGUACAACUUGCUUUGUGCAUUUUACAUUGCUUUCGGUGAAAGUAGUCCUAAGAUUGUUCCAAUGCUCAUUUUGCAGAGUCUAUCAUUUCUUGGUUCUAACAAGCACGGAUGGAAGCUCUAUAGUGACAUUUAUUGCAAAUAACAUCGCCAAAGAAAUUGAUAAUUUUCCUCGCUGCCCAGUUUAGCCUGCUUAAAAUUUAAUCUCAAACUAUGUUUUUUAAUCAAGAGAUUAUAUCGAAUGCAUCAUUAAUUAAUUUAAAUUGGGUAUUUCGACCUGUGUGGCUGGUUUAUUAUAGCUUGACAUGCCAAAACAUUGAAUGGAAAAUUAAAUUCUUUCGUUAUGGAAGUAUUUGCUACAUCAAUCUCUAAAUGGGAACGGUUAAUUUUUCAAUUCUUCAGUGGUUCAAAAAAAAUAAUGAGGAAGUGAAUGCGAUAAGUUAACGUGGUUUCAGUUUUUGGUAUAAUUUGUUUCUAAGGCUUGCAGUUUCUUCCCCUUUCAUGAUGUAUUUCUUCUUAUAUACAUCACUUUCACAGUAGCAUUGCCUUUUUGUCUCAUUUUGUAUGUCCAGGUACAACAAUUCUUUUUUGGAAGAUCGACAGAGCACUGAGGAAUUGUAAAUGAAUGGGGGAAGACUUGCUGUUUAUUACAUCUGAGCUAGUAAAAGGUACACUCCAUAAAAAGUCGAUUUCGUUGCAAAAUAGAAUCAGAGGUUGCUGUAAAAUAGGAACUCUUGAGUAGCAGUAAGGGUCUGGAAGAAGAAUCCAAUGGAUGGUCUCUUGGCUUAAUAAGGAUGUAUUGAUGAUGCUAAAGCAUAAAUGGACCAUUUUCAGAUUAAGACCAUUAUGCCAGCCCAUAUUUUUUGGAUAAACUCUUGGAUGCUGCUGCUUGAGGAUCAUUCAACUUGAGCAAUGUUGUUGAGAGUAAGCUAUUAUUUGCACCUCUUCUAUUGUAAUUCUUAUGUUUGAAGAAUGAAAUUGCAUGUAAAAGGUACAUAGACUAGCCAACUCUCAGAAAAUGUGCGCUCAAUGUUUUUUUAAUCUCAGUUUCUAUAGGGGCGGGGGAUCUAACCCGGAACAACUGAGGUAUAAACUAUAAAGCACGAGUCUUGCUGCAGUGGUAAGACUUCCCAAGGAACUUGCUCAAGUUGAAUGAUACGCGAGUAUGUUUAUUGAAGAACUUAAUGGUCAAGUUCUCAUUGGAUUCAUGAUGAACAAUCUGGUUUUGGGGCAGGAUAUUCUUGGUGAGAUGAUGGAUUCCUACUCACCCAUGAUGUGUACACACUUUAGUGUGUUUUCAAAGGGUUAUGGG